rnacentral:rRNA from 1 species
AGUGAACGCUGGCGGUAGGCCUAACACAUGCAAGUCGAACGGCAGCACAGUAAGAGCUUGCUCUUACGGGUGGCGAGUGGCGGACGGGUGAGGAAUACAUCGGAAUCUACUUUUUCGUGGGGGAUAACGUAGGGAAACUUACGCUAAUACCGCAUACGACCUACGGGUGAAAGCAGGGGAUCUUCGGACCUUGCGCGAUUGAAUGAGCCGAUGUCGGAUUAGCUAGUUGGCGGGGUAAAGGCCCACCAAGGCGACGAUCCGUAGCUGGUCUGAGAGGAUGAUCGGCCCCACUGGACCUGAGACACGUUCCAGACUCCUACGGGAGGCAGCAGUGGGGAAUAUUGGACAAUGGGCGCAAGCCUGAUCCAGCCAUACCGCGUGGGUGAAGAAGGCCUUCGGGUUGUAAAGCCCUUUUGUUGGGAAAGAAGAGCAGCAGGUUAAUACCCCGCUGUUCUGACGGUACCCAAAGAAUAGCACCGGCUAACUUCGUG